GUCUUUCCCGCACUCGCCAAAAUUUUCCCCAACGAGCCUCUCUGUUCUAACGCCCUCCCUCUUCUAGCUACAAUCAAAAUUUCUUAGGUUUCGAGAAAGAAAGAGAGAAGGGCCGGAAUAUUGGUCUCUCAUUUUACCAGAGAAGGGAACGGAUUCAUCAUUACUGUUCUCUCUCUCUCUCUCUCUCUGAAAUUGCUACACAAGUGGGGAAAAAAGAUUGGAAGUUCAGGUGGGCAGCACAAAAAUCGGAUUUGAGGCCAUUGUACAACAAUUCUCUAUUAUGUAACGUGGUUCAACUGAGUAUUUGCACCGAAGCUCUGUUUGAAUUACUGGCUAAGAGAGAAAAAAGGCUGUUGUUCUUAGUCCAAUUAAGCUUGCUUUAUAAACUGGUACGAAGACUUUAUUUAAACGAACAUCGAGAUGGAUAAGAGUUGGAUGCAAGAAACUCAUAGAUUUGGUGAGAAAUAUUCAAAUGGUGUUGAACAAUUCAUUAGAAUGGCACGUGGUCAUGUGGAUGGGCUUAAUAGGAUCAAGUGUCCAUGUCGCAAGUGUGAGAAUCGUUAUUAUAAGCUGAUAGACAAGGUGGAAGAUGAUUUAUUCAUUAACGGAAUUGAUAUGUACUACACCAAGUGGGUAUUUCAUGGGGAAGAAGACCCGUUUCGUAUAAAUGAGCAUGCCAAUCAUAAAGAUGAUAAUGCAAGUGCGAAGAAUAUUGAUGAGGUUGAAUAAAUGUUAAAUGACAUCGGUAUGGGGACAUUUCCAGGUGCUAAUGUAGGUGAAUCCUCUACUACUCCAGGCCUAACAACCAAUGAUUACGUGAUCAAGCUCUAGCUAUUCACAAUAGGUAAGGUGUACAUGCAAAUGUGAUUUUGAAUUUGAAUGCGGUUAGUUGUAAUAUACUCGGUCAUAUUUAUAAAAU